GCCAGGCCCAGGCCCCCAGCGCUCCCCCUUCCGCUCCGAGCGGGAGGGGCUAGCGAGCAUGCGCAAUAAGAUAAGUGCCCUCUGUGUACCAAAAAGGAAUGUACUGUUUAUAGAGACUUCAAAUCAGCAGAAAAUUCAAAUAGUUAUAACUUUUCUUUAUAAUCCAUCAUGAAAAAGAGUAACGACAAAUAAGAGUGCAGUGGUGCAGUCAUGGCUCACUGCAGCGUCUGCCUCCUGGACUCAAAGAAUCCUCCUACCUCAGCCUCCCAAGUAGCUAGGACCACAGAGUUGUGCUCUCCUGCAGCGUUUUGCGGACGGCUGGCUAUCUUACCCAGAAUCAAUCACACUGGGACACUGAAAAAAAAAAAAAAGGAAAAAAGAGCGAGGGAGUAAUUCUAGCCUGUUUUUACAAGAACACAGUGGCUAUAGACAGUGCCAGUGUGAAGAUGACUCAGCAAACGUGGAGAACCAAAGAUUCUAGGGCAGCACCAAAACUGGGAAAGCAAUUACAGCAGAAGUUGCCUUCCCCAUGGUAGCUUAGCAACUUCGUGUCUCUCCAAGGCAGAGAGGAAAAUCAAGUCUAACAGGCCUUCCCGAAGGCUAGGUGUGAAAUACCAGAAGCCAUCUUUGUUUCUGGCGAUGUCACUAAAUAAGUAUUUGUUGAUAUAAAGUAUUACACAUCUGUUCUCCCACAUUUCAGCUAAAUUGCCAAAAGUUAACCCUUUCUGGAGAUCCAGAAUGGAGCAAUAUACCUAGCUCUCAUUCAUUAUUUCCCUUGCUGAUAUUCUUGCAUAGCUUUUAGUUUAUGCAUUUGUCCCAAAUAAACCUAGAAAAAGCCACUUGUCGUAGGACAAGAUGAGCUGAUGAUUUGAAUCACUCCCCCACUGAGGAAGAAACCAUCUGUGGAAAAGACUGUAUAAGGUACUUCCUGGUUGAACGGUAGGGCUCUGGAGUCAGAAGUCUUGAAUUUGAAUCCCAGCCCUGAAAUGUAUCAGCUGUGUGCCCUUAGGCCAGAUAUACUUUUAUUGCACAACAUGUAUUACGUACAAGAAUAUCACAAGAUUUGGAAAUGUUAGUCCUAGAAGAGUUUGACACAACGCAAUGAUAAGACAGUAUGAAAAAUGGAGCUAUGAAUAAAAAAGAAUCCAUAAGUCCCCAGAGCCUAUGAGUAUGUUAUGUUGCAUAGUGAUGUAGUUUGGAUGCCUGUCCUCUCCAAAUCUCAUAUUGAAAUGUGAUCCCCAGUGUUGGAGGUGGGGUCUGGUGGAAGAUGUUUGAAUUAUAGGGGCUGAUUCCUUAUGAAUGGUUUGGUACCCACCCCGUGGUAAUGAGUGAGCUCUCAUUCUGGUAGUUUCUGUGAGAGCUGGUUGUUUAAAAGAGCCUGGCACCUCCCCUUCCUCUCUUGCUCCCUCUCUGUCUUGCCAUGUGACACUCCUGCACCCCUUUACCUUCUGCCAUGAUUGGAAGCUUCCUGAGGCCCUCACCAGAAACCAAUGCCUACACCAUGCUUCCUGUACAACCUGCAGAGCCCAAAUAAACCUCUUUUCUUUAUAAAUUAACCAGUCUCAGGUAUUCCUUUAUAGCAAUGCAAAUGGACUAACACACGUAGCGAGGAGGAAUUAAGGUUGCACAUGGAAUUAAGGCUCCUAAUGAGCUGACUUUAAGAUAAGGAGAUUAUCCUGGAUUAUCUGCAUGGGCCCAGUGUAAUCACAAGGAUCCUUUUAGUAGAAGAGGGAGCCCAAAGAGUGAGGCAGAAAGAGAUUUGAAGAUGCUACCUGCUGUCUUUGAAGAUGGAGGAAAAGAGCCACAAGCUAAGGAAUGCAGAAAUUGGAAUAGAAAAAGGCAAAAAACACAGAUUCUCCCCCAGAGCCUCCAGAAGGAAUGUAGUCCUGCCAACACCUUGAUUUUAGCUCCAUGAGACCCAGUUCAAACUUCUGACCUCCAGAACUACAGGGUAAUAAAUUUGUGUUGGUUUAUGUCAACAAGUUUGUGCUAAUUUGUUGCAGCAGCAGUAGGAAACUAAUACACUACUGCUGAGGGCUUAUGUCAAUAAAGACAAUACUGAUAUGAAAAUACCUGUAAUAUAAUUACAAACACAAAUAUCAAGUGCUUAGUGGACAAGGAGAGAAGAGCCUUCCCCCAUGCAGAGUUC
rnacentral:lncRNA from 1 species